UCUUCUUCGCCAGAACCCCGUCAACCCCGUCCUCGGCAAACACCCAUGCCCUCCUCUUUCAAUUGUUUGAUUCAUUUACUUUAUUUAACCUUUUUCUAUCUUUCCUUUUUGUCCUUACCAAAUGUCAUAGCAUAAUCUGUUCCCUAAAUCAGAUACCAUUUUCUUCCUUAAGUGAACGAAUUUUGGCAGAUCAUUUGGGUACGAAUUUCAUUGAAAAAAUCUGUCCAAGUUCAUAGGAGUCCCCAAAUAGGUAAAUAUUUUGAAUUUAUCGCGGGUUCCGCUCUCUUUGAUUUGAUAUAAUUUUUGUCAGAGAAGCUCAAUGUUGCAAGUUUCUUUCCUUCUUGACAUGAUUUAUUAUUGCUCUAAUUAUAUAGUGGUCGAAUUUGAUAACUAUUCAUAUACUUUUUCUAUAUAGAAAGAAUCACUUUUUCCCCAAAGUUGUGGCCUCCGACUUCUGCUAAUUGAUUCUGUUAAAUACUAAUUUUUUGCCUUAAUUUCUGUCCUUUUAACUUAGAGCGUUAAUAAUUUUUUUUAGCUAUAAACACUACUACUGUUUAAAGCAAUAAGGGGGGCUUUUGGUGACCACUGCUCUUCACCAUUGUUAUAAUAUUCACUGCUUUUCGGCUACCUGCUUUGCUAGCUGUAAGCCGCGACAAAGUUUGGUUUCUUUUAUUUCACUCGAUGCGAGUAUUGCUCAGAAUCUUUAGAGCUUCUUGAGAUCUUAGAGCGUGAAGAUUCGAGUAUUGGUUUCUUGUUGCUGCCGUUCAAAAUUUUUAUCACUGAGUAUUCUGAAGUUUGUCUGGCUUAUUUACUGCUGCCCAAGCUCUGUUCGUUUAUCGGUAUUUGGAUUUCUGGUUUCUUAUUAAUUUGGCGCUUCGCGAACUGGUUAGUUUGUUGUCGAUACUAUUUUUAGCUUUUCUGAUGCGUUAGUUAUGUGUAAAGUAGUAGCGUUCGAUGCCAUUUCUUAGUUUCUUGCGUGGUAGUUGUAUGUAGAGUAGUUGAUUUAAUUAGUUACGCUGCUCGAAUGCUAUGUUAAUCCUGGAAGCUCCCAGGUCAGUUCCCUUAUUCUUUAUGAACAUUGCUAACUUACUUGCGUGAAACUUCUGUGUUUAAACCAUACCUUUACUGCUUUCUAUGGAUUGGUCAUACUGCUAAAACUUGCUUGAAUACAUAGGUCCUGUUAGAACAUGAGAUAUGAAUUAAUGUGUGUAAAUCUGGUUGCCUGCGCUCCAUGUUUGCCUAGAUAUAAAUUUAUACUAGGUUUAUUCCUCAUGGAGCGCAGCAAAAGUAUACCAUGCUUUAAGUUUUAAAUAUUACGGUGCUAGAAGCAAAAGUAUUUGAUUUAAUAAUGAAAUUUGCCUAACCCUUUGAAUCUACAUCUGCAUAGGUUAUUUCUUAAGAAUAUAAAAGGAUAGCAUUUGAUUAAUGUGUGACUUGAGUAUUUAAAUAACAUAAGCCUGAAUUGAGCAUCAUAGAAAUAACGUGCUUAGGGAAUAAUAAGUCUGAUUAACCAAUUGAGCGAUGUAAUGUAGCAAAAUCAGUUUAGAUGCAUGUUUGUAUGUUCUUUGUGUUCUGGAAUAGCAGGGCCACGAUCUGAAAUAUUUGGACCAAAGCUGAAAGUUUGAAGAGUGGAAAAACCCAGAGAAGGAAUCGUGUGGAGUCUGCUGAAGCCUAAGGACCUAUUGGUUUUAUUUCUGGACUCUGUUCAUAGUAUUAGCAUGCAAUAACUUUGUCAUAAUGAAGAACUGCUAGGGUGGUGAUAUUAUGUGCUAAGUGUUUAUUUGAAAGUUUCACUUAUAUGAUUAGUUGUCAAUUCUAGUCUAGUAGGGGAGCCUUGGCGUAACUGGUAAAGUUGUUGUCAUGUGACCAGGAGGUCACGGGUUCAAGCCGUAGAAACAGCCUCUUGCAGAAAUGCAGAGUAAGAUUGCGUACACUAGACUCUUGUGGUCCGGUCCUUCCCCGGACCCCGCGCAUAGCUGGAGCUUAGUACACCAGACUACCCCUUUUUGUCAAUUCCAGUCUAACAGCUAACUAUUGCAUACAAGUAAUAUCAACAUGAGCCCUUACUUGCCUUAUAUGUUGUUCAAGUCCCAAUGUGGUCUCUUUUAUGUGAUGCUAAUAAGAAUAGAAAUAGAAACCUAAGAUUUUCUUUAAGUCUAGAAUAAUCACUUUAGAAUAGUGUCCAAAGCCUCCUGGACUAUAGGAAGGGACGGGUAGCUCUGAAUUAAGACGCGAUUUAGAAUUAAUUAGUGCGCUCUUAGGUUAACAACUUAAAGAUAGUAAUGAGGGUAGCGAACAUGGUACAGAAAUUGCUCAAAUAGUCAUUGCACUUUUGGCUAUAAAAGUCUUAGCAGACUUUGCACGGAAGUUGAUCCAUCAAGCGUAAAAAUUUAGCCCCCCUUUAAUAUAAUUAAAUAGGUUUUUCUUUAUGAUUUUCAAUUCUUACAUUUUCCAUGACUAGUUUUAAUUAACUGCUUUUAAUUUAUGUAUAUACUUGACCACUUAGGAUCAAUUCACAACUUAGCAACCUACAACAUAGUUUAAUCCAAUAAUCUCACAUAGUUUAAAAUUUAGCCGGGAAUCACAUUUGUGGACCCCGAAGAGUGCCUAACACCUUCUCUUCGAGGUAAUUUGAACCCUUACCCGAUCUUUGGUAGCGCAGACUAGUUCAAUCAGAGUUAUUUGCAAAUAGGUUCCCUAACCGUUUAACAGAGUUGUCACAUGUCGAAACUCGCUUUCGCGAGAAAAUGGUGCGCGAUAUAACUCAUCUAGCCUCUCCAGAUGAUGCAAAAAUCGCAGGCUAACAAGGUUUACCGAAGUGUUCGGGAAAAG
rnacentral:lncRNA from 1 species